AAAGGACCCCACAGCCCUGGGGGGAGACAGAAGCAAGGCCAAUCAGAAGAACUGCUUUCCACGGUGGAUGAAAAUGGGAGAAGAUGACACUUCCCACUGUCGCCCUCGAUAUAAGGCUGCAGGUGUGCCAGGGAUUGGCUGUGCCAUGACACAGUGUGUCCUCACGAGGCAGCAAAGCUGAUGCACACAGAGUGGUGGGAGAGAGUGAAGAAUUGCAUCUCUUCUUCCUGCUGGCCUGCUUGGACUUCAGUCCAUGGUCAGUAGCUCCAGUCUCAGGACUUCCUAAACUCAACCCUUGGAACAUUUGUUCUCUGAAGAAUACACUCCACGCUGAAGGAGAGGAUGAGAAAUCCAUUCACCAAGCACCGAGUGCCUCUGCUCUUCCUGCUGCUGCUACCACCAAUGCAGCUUCAAGGGACAUUCUCA